UCACUCGCAGUCGACCGCAUUUUGUCGGACUCGCGGGCAUCGGUCAGAACAGAAGCUCGUGCCUAUGUCAUAAUGGAUAAGUCAAUUUCCCAGCUACUGCGAGAGGCGGCUGCAGCUCUGGAACGACAUGGAGUUCCGACAACAUCAGUCGGGACUCCAUCAUCGACUGCUCCUUCCCCUGCAAUGAGAGGCGCAAGAAGUGACUGUCAAGGUUUUUUUGCUUGUCUAAAAGAAGAGACUGUGAAGUUCCAAACCCAUCUGGAAAGUUGAAGCUGGAGAGAGCUGACCUGAGGGAAUAAAAAUCAUUUUCCCAGAUAAAUAUUGUCAGCCAGAGGAGUUUACAGAUUACCUCUGUAAACAGUUUCCCAAGCUGAAAGAAUCUGGAGGCUAUGAACUUCUUAAGCCUCGAGGUGCUACCCGCUCAAAGUCAUUGGAGAUAAUCCCUUGUCCUGAUGAUGGAUACUCCGCAGCAGUGCUUGAAGUGGGAAAAAAUAAGUGCAGGAACUCUAAUUUUCCGACAUUUGACAUUUCACUCAUUUCACUUUUAGUAAGUACCGGAAUGCAGAAAAAAGUGGCGGAACCCAAAAGACGAAAAUACAGAAGUUCCGGAACUGCGUUCCGGCCCACUUCAAGCACUGCUCCGCAGAGUAUUUGAGCAACAGUACACUUGGCAUCGGAGGUGGCAUGAUUUACAUCAGACCUCUUCAGAAAGAUCUAAGCUUGGAGGUAGAUAAACUGCAUAGAUGAAGCAUAAACAAUGUAUGUUAAGAUUUGACUUCUUUUUCUUAUACAUUGAAAAGUUUUCAGAGGGAAAAACAGGACAAGGGCCACAAAUAGCUUGUUUGUACUGCCAAGAAAAAAAUUCUGUUGCUGAAAUGCAGAAAUAUGUCGACCAGUGUGAAAUGUAAGUAAUAUGUGUAAAAAUUUCUAACUAAACAAUGGAAUGUUAAAAGAUAUUAAAAGUGUAAAAAAAAAAUGGUUUAAAUGGACGAGUUGUACUAUACCUUGGACUACAUUUAUUGUCAUUUUCUUUUUUUUAUGUAUUUUUUUUAUUUUUAAAAAGCAGGUUAGAAAGAGAGGAACACCAAAAUGUUACAGAGGGCUCCAGGUAGGAAUCAAGUAGUACUGGUAACACACGGGAUAUUAAUAGAAGCGACAUCAGCAAUGAAAUUUCCCAUAAUAGCAGCAGUGAGGAAUUUCCCAGAAGCAGCAGCAGCAGACAGCAAAUCUCCAGAAGCAGCAGAGAGGAUUUUGCUAGAAACAGCAGUGAGGAAUUUCCCAGCAGCAGCAGACAGCAUAACUCCAGGAGCAACAGUAGACAGGAAAUUGAUCAAAGUAGAGAAAUAAGGGACAGUGAAAAUGAAGGUGAUUUAUAGGUGUUGUUUCAUGCAAUCUGAACAACAAUAAGCUUAUUUUUUCAGCAUAGCUAGAAAAAAACUCCCAAAAUAUGACCAUGUCUUGUGAAUAGCGACAAUUUGUAUUACUUUUGUAUUUCUGUCUUCUCAGAGUGGAAAGUUGAGCCAAACUUGUUUCGGGCUGCACUUCUAUACAGAACGGGGCUUUUGGAAAAGGCUGAAAUUCUUUCUUAGUUAACUGCAAGCCUGAACCUGUGCAGCAGUACCCAGGAUAGAGAAAGAAAAAUGUUAACAUUCUAUAAAUCACAACCUGGCAACUGGGCUCGUCCAUUCUCCGUUGUACUCAAGGACAACUGUGGCAAAACUCUAUUUUUCACUGGUCAAGAAGACCAUCUGGUGCCAUCAACCUCCCAUCAAACUCCCGAAGCAUGAUUGGCCAUUCAUUUAUUAAUGGUGGUCCCUCAUUGACUGGACUUAGCCCUGCUAUGUUUGGAAUAAUAACCGGACAAAUAAAUGAGACAGUCAUGAUUGAACUUGAAGAUUGCCCUGACACAGAUGUCAUUGAAAUUGUCCAUCUGCUUCAAAAACCAAAUACACUUGCUGAUGAUGAGUGUGCGAUAGUAAAUGACCUGGCUAUCAGUUGGGAUCUGCCUCGUGUCACUGCAGAAAACAGACUGUGGCUAGCCCAAAGCAUUCUUCACCAUGCUUUGAUCCAGGAAAGAGUAAUAUGGCCGAACCCUGACAGUGAUGAUGAGGACAACUUCAGUCUGGAAACAUGCUGAAAACAUCCUUUUUCCGGCAAUACAUUGAAGAAAGUACACCACAGGACCUGAAAAACCUUGUCGAAUUGUGGCUGGACAAGCCUACCACAAGAACUGUAUGUGGAAGUGACAUCAGAUGUCAGAAUGCCAACUACCUCAACAUGCAGUUACAAUGCACUUCCAUUACAGCCAUUAUGGAGAAUUCAGCUCUGAUUUAAAAGCAGCUGUGUCUAGCAACAGUUUUGGAUUUGUUUUAGUUUAAAAGGAAGGCACCUGAAUAGUCUUUAAACUGUUGUUGUUUGCUGAUUUGUUCAAGUGUAAGAAAAACAGUGAAAUCAGUCAGAAAUCUUAGUAUUACAAUUUAUUGUAAUAUUGUUCCUACAUUUUUUACUUGCUUUCUAGGCAAGGGGAAUCUAGCAGUUGCAAUUGUUAAUUAAUUCACAAAAUAUAUGCCAUUGUUUACAUCCAUUAAGAUAUUAAUUGUUCAAGCAUAUUCUUUGGGUUUAUGUAUCAGUCCAUCUAUCCCAAUAAAUGAGUUAACUGUUGCACUG